CAGCAUUUAUGUACACAUUUUGAUAUGACUAUUGGCUUUCAGAUAUUAAUUUUUAAUUUUUAAUUUUUUUUUUUGGAAAGUGGAAAUAAAAGAGAGUGAUGACUCGUAGUCGUAUUGGAGUUUGAGGUUUGCCCGACGGGCAGCGUUUUUUUUUUUUGUAUUUGCUUACUCUUUGAUUUCGGGCAGAUAUUUUCUCUCCUUCUUUUUCUUAAUAUCAAUAAAAUAUAUUUUCUAUUUACAGAAUAAAAUAAGUCUUUUUUAAUGUUUAUAUUAACUAUGCAUUUUAAUAUAUCAUUUAACAAUUUAAUUCAAUUUAACUAAGAAUUCUAAUAUUUCUAAAAUAAAAUAACUAAAAUUAUUUAUACUGAUUUUUUAAGAUCGUAAUCUAAUAAUUUUUAAAAUAUUUUAAAAAUAUAAAUACAAAAUAAAAUUAAUUUAAAAAUAAUGAAAUAACUUUGUAAUUGUAACUAUGAACCUUUGUUUCUAUCUCUUUUUUUAUUACAAUGCAUUUUUUAGCAUAUUCUUGUGUUUUUGCUUCUAUGUGUGAAUAGUUACAUAGAUGGUGUUAGGGUUUCAUAAGAAUUGAAGAAAAUAAAUGUCUAAGAUUGCUUAAUCUGGGAAUAUCAUUAGAGUUCUUCAUAGUUGGUGCUAGGGUUUUAAAAGAAUUAAGGAAAAUGAAUGACUAGGAUUUUUUAUUCUAGGAAUAUCAUUAGAUUUCUUCAUCUAUAGUUAGUUUUAUUGUUUGAACUUGAUUAGCUACCUAGCUCAUGAGUUUAUGUUGUUUCACGCUCAAAAGGUUCAAUAAAUUAUCUGGAAUAAUUUAAAUAAGCAAAAUAAUCUAUAACUAACGAGAGCUGAUGUUAGGGAACUUUGUAAAGUCAUCAAAACUUACUCAUUAAUGCAUGUUUAACCUAUUGAGUUCAACGAGAGUUAGUUGAUUGGAUUGUUAGACAUAGUGAGAGUGAAUAAAUUAUAAAAUUGUGUUCUGAGUUCUAGAAUUGAGUUACAGUAUUGAAAUUAUGGUUAUAACUUUGAGCUAUCAGGGGCCUACAUGUCGUAUGAGUAUCGGACGUGAGAUCUAAUGGCGAAAGUGGUUAGGACGUUACAAGUGGUAACAUAGUUGAUUAUCCAUCUCGGUUCUGACAUAAAAGGUCGGUUUUGGUGUGCAACAGAGAGGUUAUGUUUUGUGAGUGUGAUCAAUUGUACAUCUUAAUUUUUGAUAUCUAAUGAAGUAUUUAAUAUAAUUAAUUUAUCUAAUUAUAUCCCUAAAGUUUUCUUAUCUUUUCACAUCUAAAGAAAAAUUCAAGGUAAGCAUGAUUGAGUCAAAGUAGUUAAAAGAUGAGUAACCUAUCAUAAAAAGAUUCGUGAUAUCAUAAAAAUGAGAUCAAAAUAUAGAGAAAAAUCGCGUGGUGAUUUUAUGGUCAUUAAACAGUUUUUGAACCUAAAAAAAAAAUAACGCACUAACCAGUUGUAUUAUCCAUGGACUAAUGGUGUGACUGGUUUUUCUGUUACCACCCACAAACGCAGCUUUUGCGGUUAAUAGCCGUUGUUGGUUGUAUUAUAAGCAAGUGUUAAGGUCCACUAGCGGAAACGAUCCGAAGUUACAAUUACUUUUACAGUUUUACUUAAAUGGAUGGUGUCAUUACUUAUUUUCUUACAGUCGAGUUUUAUAAAACCAAUCUACUUAAGUGUGAAAGCUAUGUGGAUUAAAAUCAAUUUAUUGGAAUAGUAAUUUAUCUAAAUACGUGAUUUCUUAAUCACGUAUUACGUCUUAUUGGAAGGAGAAACUAUUAAUCACGUCUUAUUCACAUGUCCUGCGGCUCGACUGGUAUGGGCGACGUCGGGGUUCCCCUUUCCGCAACGAGGUUUUGAACAUAGAUCUUUAUAUGAAAAUUUUAGCCAUCUGCUGAAUAUUGGAAAAGAUUCUAGAGUGCCAAAGGAUGUUAGUUGUUCUUUCCCGUGGAUUCUAUGGAUGUUGUGGAAGAACAAGAAUGCUUUUAUCUUUGAAGGAAAAGACUAUGAGGCAGAGGAUACGGUCAUGAAAUGUCGUGAGGAGUCCAGGCGAUGGACAAUGGUUACUGCAGAAGCAAAAGCGGAAACGGGGAGUAGGAAUCAGAGCCAAAUGAAUGGUAAAGGAUGGACAGCACCAGAGAGUGGAAGAGUGAAGUGCAAUAUUGGAAUCUCAUGGUCUAAAGCGACGUGUAUGGCUGGUUUGGGCUGGAUUGUAAGGAAUAGUGAAGGUCAAACUCUGCUUCAUAGCAGAAGAGCUUUUAAUGGUGUGUCGUCGCUUUUGGAGGCUAGACGUUUGGGUUUAAUCUGGUCAGCUGAGAGUAUGAUUUCUCAUAGAUUCCAGAAAGUGAGUUUUGAGCUGGAGGAUCAUGAACUGGUGGGCUCUGUCAAUAGACCUAAGGCAUGGCCAGCGUUCCGGGGGUACGGUGAGAAGUUAAGGGGUGUUCUGAAUAAUGUUACAGAUUGGAUGGUAAGUUCAGUAAAGAGAGAGGCAAACAAAGCUGCCUUUAUGAUUGCUCGGAGUGUGACAAAGGAAAUGAGAUACCAAUCAUAUGUAGCUCAAGGUAGCCCUUCUUGGUUGAGGAGCUUGCUUGCGGAGGAAGGUACAAGGUCAACAAGAGUAUAAGGUGACGCUAGAUGGAGGGUCUUUGAAAUGGAGGAGUUUUGGGUGGGAUAACGUGCUUUAGGCGGUCGUUUUCCUUUUUAAAUUUGAGUUGGUUGUGUUUUUCAUGGUUCUGUAGGAAUUUGUUUCUGGUUUUUAUUUCUCAAACAUUUAUCUCAGAGUUAAAAAAAAAAAAAAUACGUGAUUUCUAGUGCGUGCUGCAGCUUUUUCUUUUGUCUAAACACAAGUUAUAAGUUUUCUCAUUGCAGGGUGUCAUUUUCUAUUAAUUGAUCCCGUUUACCUUAGAUUAAUCACCACGCAUCAUAUUCAUAAUAUUCAUCAUAUAUGUUGUAUUUCGGCUAUUUUCAUAAUGAUGCCGGAAAAUAUUUUAAUAUAGUUGACCAAAUUACCAUUUUUUAUCCUGAAAUAUCCGUAACAGCUUGAUAAAUAAAAAAAAACCGUAACAGCGUGAUGUGGUAUGGGUAAGGGAGUCCGUCUAUAAACAUGUCUGAUGUUUGGAUCCAACUUUAAUCGCAACUAGAUUUUGACAUGUCUUUUUAUAAUUUUUGUUUUACAUUUUCUUAGAAAUUUAAUUUUUUUUUUGAACACAAGAAAAUUUAAUUUUUAUAUUUGUGUUUUCAGUCAUAUUUGUAUUUUUUUUGUUUGUAUAAUAUUUUUCUUAAAUGAUUAAUAAAAGAUUUAAAUAAUUGUAUUAAAAUAGUUGGAUCACAUCAAUAUCAAUAGAUCAUGUUCUUGUUUUAAUAGAAUAGAUUAUUUCAUUUUAUUUUAUUUUAAAUUAAAUUACUUAUGAUGUCAUGCAUUAUCCCAUGGCGACAUAACCUUGUGUGUGUGUCAGAUUGGCGUUUGUCAUGAGGAUCUUGUGCUCCCCCCCCCCCCCCCCCCCCCCAAAUUUUAGACGUAAUUAAUUGAAAAAUAGGCACGAAAAUAAGAUUCCAUGUUUGGAACGUACAAUCAGUCUUAUGAAAUUAAUAUUACCCCAUUCAGGAUUUCUAUAUAACAAAAUACGAGAUUAAUGUUUUUUCUUUUUCUAAAAGAGAUUAAUGUUUUUUUACUUUUUUCACUUUGAAUCAUUUAUGAAGUACCAUCAGAUCCUUAUUCAAUUUCUUAAUUUAAUAUUUUAUAAAGUUGUAUAAAACAUUGAUUAUGUCGAUGAACUCAUUGUCAUAACUAAACUCUUGCCUGCUCUGGCCCAUUACACGUGAUUUGUUUCUGUUUCUGAUGUUUUGGUAUUUGAUUUAUUGGUGAUGCUUACAUAUUCCAUAAUCAUUGUAAAUUUGAAGAAAAAAUAGUGAAGAAUGAUACUGAUCGAGUGACUGUAUUGGAGUAUGUAGGAAUCAUACUCCAAUAGUAAAGAACUAUUUUCACAGUUGUGUGUCAUUUGUUUCUUUCAAGAAUCAUUUUAAUAAAAAGUUCAUAACCUGAUUGCUAUGAUUUCACUACUCCUAUGUAUUUUGAUCAAAUUAAAUAAUGUUACCCACAGAAACGUCAUGUCAAUAGCUAAUUAUCUUAAAUUCGUGUUGACCUAAUAAAGAAGUGACUCAUACCUCAAUAUUUUGUUUUUGCAUAAUUUGAUUUUAUCCUCAUCUGUCGUUAUUUUUAUAGGUUAUCGACUACUCCUAAAUCAAUAAUACAGGAGUGUCUUAUUUGUGGAGGAUAUAAAACAACCGAAAACGAUAAACUUAAAUAAAAUUAAAAGCGUACGGUAGAUUGAGUAGUUGAUAAAACCGAAGUGGCAGAAGUUUUUGGACUCAACUUUAUGAACUUGUAAAUCGAGACAAAUCCGAAUAAUAAAUAAUUGAUCGGCACGCGAGCUUUGUCAGACUCGACAAUAUUUUCUCUUCUUUUUAUUUUCACCGACAAUUUCUUAUUUCCAUGACUCGUUUAUUUUUAUUUUCUUUUAACCAUGACUCGUUUAUUUUUUAUUCCUUUUAGUAUUUUCAAACUUACAUGAUACAUUUUCCCUUUUUUUAAUAGUUACUGUUAUGAACGAACACAAAUCAAUAUUUUUUAAAGCAAAUAACUAGUUGAAUCAAAUACAAAUACUUCGUUCACGAAUAGUAUAUUGAUUAUGUUAAUGAAUAAAUUUUUAAUUCAUUAGACAUGUAUUUAUAUCAACUUUAAAAUCCAAUUUUUUUCUCUUCUAAAAAUACCAUUAUCUUAGAAAAAAAAAUUAUAAUUAUAAAAGACUUUUGUACGACGGCUGCAUUCGGCCGGACUAAGUUUGUUCAACAAAUUCUAUACAAAGAUUUAAUAUAGUUCUAAAUCAAAAGUUGUUUUUUUUACACUAUUUAAACCAAAGUUUUCCAUUCUAACCAUGAAACAAUUGUUCAGAAUUCGAAAGAACUACUAACGAUCAAACAUUUGACUAAAACAUAAUCAAAAUACUGCACAAAUAGAGAGGAUUUCAUCCUUAAGAACUAAAGACACAAAAGACCGAGUCACUAAAGCUAGGAGGGUUGAAACUUUCCAAAUUUGAAAACCACAAUGCCUCUAAAUACAGUUCCACACUGCAUCAACAUGACAAACAUGCUUACCGGUGAGAUAGAGAUGAGACUGGAAAGGAGCAGGGAAGUGUUGGAUUUAAUUGGGAGUACUAUGAGGCAUAUGCACAUUCUGCCACUCCAUUACCUUGGAGACGCUUUUAUUAUCCAUAUCCCAUUCCCUAAAAAACUAUCACCAGUUGAAAAAAAGUUUCAUGGUUGGCUUUCCAAUAUGGUUUGAAGGUAUUGAAGAAUAAAGUAAGUCGCCAUCCAAAAAAUGGCAUAUGAAAUUCAUGGUUGGCUUUCCAACAUUAUUGGGUACGGAUCCCAACAAGAGUUAAAUCAAGAAUGGUUUUACUGUUUGAAAAAGUUACUAAAACUCAUGUUCUAAAACUUCUUCUCGGUGUCCGCAUAUAUGCCGGAAAAUCGCUCCACAGCCACUAAAUGUGGCGAACUGCAUCUAUUUGGUCAGUUACUCUGCUAAAAGUAAAAGCAUCACUAUUUUGUAGAUAGUAAGUUCAAAUAGCGUGUUAUGUUUUAAAAUUGACGUAUCUCACUUUAAAUCCAUGAGAUUAAAGUAAAAUAAUUGAUGAAAUCGUUAAAAACUACAUGCAUACUUACAAAUUUAAGGUUGAAGAUGAGGGCAUAUCCAUCUUUUUAUCCUUAUUAACCACAAAAAGUGAAACAGAUGCUAAUAUUGUUUUCUUCCUUUGGACCUAAGACCUAUGCUAGUAUAAGAAAGUUUGCAACCAUUGAACCACGUAAAUUUUCUUGUCAUCUUUUACAUAAACUACAUGUUAUACAUGAAUUUAUUGUAAAAAUAAAAAUAAAUUCAAAACUAAUCUCUAAUUAAUUUUUGAUUUUUUUCAUUCUGCGCUAGGUCCAACUGAAGCGUAGAGCUCAACCUAGUUUUGAAACUAAGAAAAAUACUGGUUGGUUUGAAAUCACCUUGAUAACCGUGAUUAGAAAAAGAAUUCUAAAUAUUUCUAGAGGAUCACAUUUAUAAACUUGUAUUUGUUAAACAUGAGAAUGAUCUAAUUUUCGUUGGAAAGUCGGAAUAAAACAACUUGAUUAGUUAUGAUUGUUUUUGAAUUUGACUUAUAGAAAAUCCAAAUAAAAUUAUAUUAAUUUUUUUAAUAUGAAUUUUUAUCUUGAUAUGCCUUUUUAUUUAUAUACGUAUUAUGAUAUUUUUUUCCUUUUCCUACUUUUUUAAAAAAAAUCUUUAUUUAUCCUGAUUUCCUUUUUGACUUGCGAUCAGCGUUUAAAUCAGUUGAUCUUAGUUUAUGAACUUUUUAUGAAAAUGCAUAUCCCAUCUUCAACAACGAUACUGCCACAAGCUUCACAAACAAUGGUAUUCUCUUACCAAGUGUUCAUUAACUUGUAACACAUAAAUGAUGAAUUCACAUAGUCAACGAAUAAUCGUCUUCCUAAUAAUGUCUAUUAAUGUUUGUUUAAGGUUUCAACUUUGAAGAAAUCAAAGUGCGAAGUGGGUUUGUUUUAACUAAGCUACACUAAACUGGAAUGUACUGUAGUAAUUAAAAUGUUAGCAGAUGAAUUUUCUAGGUGUGCAAGAAGUAAGCUUAUAAGUUAUAACCCUUGUUUCAUAUCGCUUAAACAAAUUAUAUAAAACAAUCCAAGUGGAUUCAUAACGUCAAUGCAAAGUUAUUAACUUGGAAUACUUCUUUUUGGCCCUUCCAUUAUUUAAAACAAAUUCUGGUUAGGUAUUAUUAUUGAUGUGUUAGCCUGUCAAGUAAAUGAUAUUAUUUACUUUAAAUAAACAGUGAAAAUAAAAAGAUAACAUCUACUAUAAUAGUCUUAAAUUUACUGGGAUCUGAAGUUAAGUAUAUAGAAACUAACAACAAGAAGUCUCUUUACUUUCAUUGCAAAAAAUUGCUUGGUGGAUCUAGAUGUCGUAUGUGGCAAGUUAUGUUUAAAACCAUUAAAACAGAUUCACAUAUUACAAAGUCUUUCAGAUUGGUAAAUCAGUAACAAAUCAGAAAUAGUAAUCACAAAACAUAUUUAACAUUUUAACUAUACGUAUUAGAUUGUAUUAGUAUAGACAAUAAAAAUACUAAUACUCAAUCACUACAUCAAAAACGUUUCCAUAACUAGAUUGAUAUACACAGGAACAGAUUAACACAUAAAACUAAUAUUGCAAGGCUUGUUUCUUAAGCAAAUGAUAUUCCUCCAAUGAUUUUGUUAUAAGAUCAGAAAGCAUUAAUGUUUCUUUUAACACAAACAUCCAUUUCCUAAACGUUCCGUUGAGUAGCAAAGAAAUACUUAUCUUGUUAUAGCACAAGUAAGAGAAUAUCAGAGAAUCCUAUCACUUAGAUUCUAUAGCUUGUACGGCUUAAUAACUUGACAUGUAUCAUAAAGGUUAAAUCAAAUGACAUAAUAUCCCAUAAGAUUCUUCCAAAUACUAUUAUGAGUCUAUUUGAUUAUAAGCUCAUUGUGGAUAAAUUUUAUGUCAGAAUUAUCUUUUUUUGAGCAACUGAUAUCAGAAUUAUCUAUGUAGACAAGGUAUCUUCUUCUUUUUUUUGUAGGCCAGGUAUGUCAAUUAAAAGAAAUUAAAUUUGAAUUGAGUUAUAUAAUUGAAAUAUCUGCCAGAUGUAACUUUGCAAAUAUCUAAGAUACUUUAUUUAAGAAACACUGAAAUUGAUCACGUAUGAUGCAUUUUAAAUUCAAAUAAGACUUCUCGAAAAUGCUAUUACAAAAUAUAGAUAAAGUCUCCAUCUAGCUAAUACGAAUUAAUGGUGGUGAGAAAUAAACAAGACUCAAGAGAGGUGUUUGUCCAAUAGAAAGAGGGAUUAAGAUGUGAUUAAGAUAGUUAAUUAGAUUUUAAAUUGGUAAGUAGCUUUCAUGGGGUUUGCUUAUACGCAAUUAGGUAUAUGGUCUUUAGAUGGAGAUGAGAAGAAUGCAAAAUUAGCUGACUUUUCGACUAAGAUUCUGUCUUUAACGAAAUAUAGUAGUAACCCUUAUUAUUGGCGAACAGAUAAAACAAAGCUAUAUCCCCAAACGAAUCCUGAGUUAAGCCCACCAUAUAACGUGGGUUGUUUCUACAGCCCAAUAAUUAAGUAAGUUCCAGGUUUGUUCUCUAGCCUCGUCUAAAUAUUUUAAAGCAUAUGACCGUGACUCUAUUAACCGGGGCGACUUGUUUUCCCGCUACCACCCGCAAACACAGCUUUUGCGCAGUUGUCGACGGUUUGCAACAAUCACUCAAAUCGUUCUAAACCGUUUCAAACCGCUCCGAAUCUCAUAAAUUCAAAAGCUGGCUCCAGCUAGCGUUUGCAGUUGCGGGCGGUUGCGGGAGGGUAAAUUUUUUUUUUUAAAACAAUAUAUAUACAAAAUUAAAAAUAUUUAAUAAAAAUUUUAAAACUGAAAUUAUGAAAAUAUUAAUAUAUAUGUAUAUAUAUUAUAUUUUAAUUAAUAUUAUAAAAUUUUAUAAUAAAAACAAUUUCAAUAAAAUUUUAAAAAUUAAAAUUAUAACUUUCUAAAUAUAAAUUGUAUAUUUAUUAUAAUUUUAUGAUUUUUGAUAUAUUUAUAAUUAUAUUAAAUAUAAAUAUUGUUAAUUUAUUAUUUGACUGUUACCGCAUUUGGUAGUUAACCAGUUAUAAGUCACCCACAAACGUACUAAUUUUUAACCGUAGUAACAGUCGUACAAAUCUCUUAAAACCACUAGAAACCGCAACCGCCCGCAUCCGCAAACUUCCGCAACCGCAGCGUUUGAACCAGUUAGGCCCUAAGAAGUGGCAUGAAGGACGACACUCGACGUUUCUAAAGACUCAAAGCGAUACCGUCACACCAAACUAUGCUUUAAGAAGCCUUAUAGCUCAAUUAUGUGAAUCCAAUUACAUCAAACCUGUAAUCCUCGUCUCAAGGAUUUUACCCUCGUCUCGAAAAUAUUGCUUUCCACCUUCACAAUACUACCUUUUCUGUUUAAUACUUGUUUUAUUCAAAGAACUAAUCUUCUUACAAAAAAACUUACUUCAAACGAAAACCGAAUAAAAUGAACCAUAGUCAUAGAUAACUUAAGGAAAAGUUUUAGAAAUGAAAUCUCAAAUGUGUGGCACCACCCAUGACUCAUACUUUUACAAAAGGAUGGGUGAGUAAUGGAAAUUACUCAGUAAGUAUAUGUUCAAAGAACCUACGAACUCAUCACAUAACAAGCAAGAAAACAAGCACAGUUAUAACUGAUAUCACCUAACAUACAACAUUCAACCUAGAUCUCUAGGACUUAUCUGCUCUUGACCCGUUGGCUCAACUGGCACUUUCCACCCCGUGUCUCCUAUGUAACUACCCGGUCGUGGCCCAUUAGCCCCUCCGGAACUGUCCACCCUCCAGUACAAUAGUCACUUAUGCCCAGAUUCGGUGUCACUUCAUCAUACAUCACAUCAUCCCUAUCGUUCUUCUACACAAGUCAUUAUUCCAAUCAUUAUCAUCACACAACUCAUAACCAUAAUCAUUCUCAUUCACGCAUACCAUUUAACAACCUAACAUCAUCUAGGUGUUUUCCAACACAUCAAAAAACAUCAACAACUAAAUCUAACUGUUCAUCUCAUAAACACAAUCAUCAACAAUAUCUAAACAACAUUAACAAAGGACCCACAAUUAAUGGGUCAUCACCUGGAAAGUAGAUCUCGAGAAAAAAGUAAAUCUAAAACAUAGAUCUGAAAGUGAAAAGCAAACAUCACAUAAAACAACAAUGAACCAAACGCGGGGCUCGAUGGUGGCGCCACGACGGAUGGCACGAGGAGAGAGAGAGAGAGAGAGAGAGAGAGAGAGAGAGAGAGAGAGAGAGAGAGAGAGAGAGAGAGAGAGAGAGAGAGAGAGAGAGAGAGAGAGAGAGAGAGAGAGAGAGAGAGAGAGAGAGAGAGAUUACGAAGAAAAUUGUGUGCAAUAAACUUUUAUCGUAGUCUAAUAUCUUUCGGUGGUGCAGGACGGGCAUCCACCAUUGCCUGGGGUGGGGACAUGGGGUGACACUGCCGCAGUAUAUGUCAAUGGAGAUUACGAAGCCUCCUCAAUGAAGAAAUGACUUUCCUUAUAACUAAAACAUUUUGGUAUGAUUGUCAAGUUCUAAGCUCAACUUCAUUUCUUUUAACGGACAAACAAUCAUGUUCAGAAGAACACAUUUUUGUUUUCAAGUUUCUACCACUCAUGAUCGGCUACUUUGCAUUGUCUAUCCCAUUAGGAUUAUCUAUCUACUGGUUGGUUUCCCUCACCUUGAAACUUUCAUCUAGCCAUUUUGUUCAUGUUCCUGAUCUACACAUGUGUAAAUUGACCGUAAGACAGAUUAUUCCUCUAUUUUAAGAUAUGUACGCGAACAAACAUGAAAGGUAGUUGGCUUCAUGCUCAGUGUAUAUACGAAGCUAGUUGUUGAAUUGCAUAUCUUAAAUGUUGCGUCUUAAUGUUUUAACAUUCAAAUUUAUUUUAGGUUUACAAACAAUGUACUUAGCACUGCCCAACAAAGUAUGGCUGCGUAAACUAGGCGGUGCAACGCCUGCGGUAAGUGAAAACGCAACGCCUGACGAUGCUUAUAUUUUGUUACAAGUACAUCAAACAAAUGAUGUUUAUAUUAAAUUACAACAGAUUUAGAAAAUUAAAAGAACAAGAGAAGCGCAGCAAAAAGAACAAAGAAGUUGCGAAAGAUACAGUCGAACUGCUAAAAUCUUAGUCUUAAUCAGAAGAAGGGUCGGAUGAUGAGGAAGAAGAGAUUCGGGAAGGAGUGUUGGCUUCGAGCACAAGCAAGCCAGUUCUUGAGGUUGGAAACGCACUGUAUAUAACAAGCAGAACUGCAGUAGUUGAUCAAAGUAAAUUGAUUGUGUUUCUUAUGUGAUUCGUCUUAUUACAAAUGUUAUAAACAACGUAAAUGUCAGUACUAUUGUGACUUCCAAAAUGGUGUAAGCAUAUCUUUGUUGUAAAAUUAUGAAUUUGACAGAUGCAUGUUUUCCUAAUGUAUAAACGGCUUAUACAAUUGUUUAUAGAGGAAAGCUAAACAAAUUUAGGCAAUAUUACACAUCUAAUAUACCUGAAUGUGCGUAACCACUAAUUAUUGUAAGCUAAGCACCGUUUAGUCAAACUGGGAAAUGGGAAAUCUAGUUGUAGUAGCUUACUUUAUCGUAUUCCUAGCAUUGGCAAGCAGUUCUGCAAAAGUUUAGGAUUAACGAGGCCAAGAAAGGUUCGCACGAUUCUCGAAGUUGCACAAGCAGACAAAUACCUCUCUUGCUUUGUUGUUUUGUUGUUUGUCCUUUUGUUGUGUUUGGCAAAGAACCCCGUUAGUAACAUGAACAUGUAAAACUUGUCAGUCUUAGCCUUAUUGCCCCUAAACUCAGAAGAAGAAAAAUGGCAUAUGACUCGUGACUCACAAGUCACACAAAGCAACAUGUGUUAUAGGUUAGAAAUUCAGAGAUAUUUUUUUAUUAAAUAAAAUAUAUGGCUUCUAUUAUAAACUCCAUUCUAUCAAUUUUGUUAUCGAGUUUAGAGUCAAGACUGUUUUGUUUAGACUUGAGAGAGUUUCGUCCCGUUUCACCAAGUUUCAAAUUUCUGUAUAUAGCUAAAUAUAUUUCCUACAUGGGAUCAUUAUAAACUAACACACAUUUGCUAGAUACCUUAACUAAAUUGUAACUGUAUUGUAUAUAUAUAUGGUUAUAAUUACAGAUUAUAUGUUUCUACAAUAAUAUAUCAAAUUACAAUAUUACUACACUCUACAGAUACUUAUGUUUUAUUCGUAUUAAGUGUAAAGAUGAUAUAACUUAGGACAAUUGUCAAUAAUAACACCUUUUGAAGUUUAUGUCUCAAAAAUAGCACUAGAAGAAGAAAAU